rnacentral:tRNA from 1 species
GACCGUCGUGGCCGCGGUGACCGCGGUCGCCGGUACUCUCGGCGUGGCGGGCUCCCUGCUGGUGGCGCGGAUCCUGUUGCCGCGCAACGGUUUC